UUCUUCAAAGGGAUAUUUGAUAGAGUUCAUAUGAUUCCAUUAAGUUCUGAUCUUAUGGUGCAAAAUACGAUUCAUUUUUUAAACCGUCUCAUAGAGGACAUUGUGAUAGGGAGUUAUGAACCCAGCAUAAAAGAACUUAUACCACCGCUACUCAAGCAUAUGAAUGUACUCCAUCCUCCUCAUGUGAAAGUUUUGAUUGGGUGGAUAACCAUGUGUGGUGAUGUUUCGGAUGCUC